rnacentral:rRNA from 1 species
CGGGACGGGUGAGCAAUGUCUGGGAAACUGCCCGAUGGAGGGGGAUAACUACUGGAAACGGUAGCUAAUGCCGCAUAACGUCGCAAGACCAAAGAGGGGGACCUUCGGGCCUCUUGCCAUCGGAUGUGCCCAGAUGGGAUUAGCUAGUAGGUGGGGUAACGGCUCACCUAGGCGACGAUCCCUAGCUGGUCUGAGAGGAUGACCAGCCACACUGGAACUGAGACACGGUCCAG